AUUGAACGCUGGCGGCAGGCCUAACACAUGCAAGUCGAACGAGCGGCGGACGGGUGAGUAAUGUCUGGGAAACUGCCCGAUGGAGGGGGAUAACUACUGGAAACGGUAGCUAAUACCGCAUACUAUCAGAUGUGCCCAGAGGGGAUUAGCUUGUUGGUGGGGUAACGGCUCACCUAGGCGACGAUCCCUAGCUGGUCUGAGAGGAUGAUCAGCCACACUGGAACUGAGACACGGUCCAGACUCCUACGGGAGGCAGCAGUGGGGAAUAUUGCACAAUGGGCGCAAGCCUGAUGCAGCCAUGCCGCGUGUAUGAAGAAGGCCUGAGGGUUGUAAAGUACUUUCAGCGGGGAGGCGUUACCCGCAGAAGAAGCACCGGCUAACUCCGUGCCAGCAGCCGCGGUAAUAC
rnacentral:rRNA from 1 species